CCACACACACACACACACACACGCAGUCCAGUGUCGAUGUAAGACAGGAAGACGCUGCUCAGGGACUGGUCUGUUGCAGACUAUCUUGGGACCCAUUAAGAGGUUUUUCAAAGAGCUUCUGUUCGAAGUCGAAAUUGGGAAUGCCUAGGAGGAGUCUCCAAAAGUGCGCUGACAGCCUGGGACGUGUACACUGGAGAUAGCGGCCUUGGCAAGCGGUAUAAGACUGCCUUUCGGACCAGGUUCUACCUUUUUCCGCCAGUGAAACAGCCAGGUCUAGGCAGAUUUGUAACUGUCUCCUGGAACACCGCUUCCGAAGGCUCACCCAAGCCAAAGGCCCUUGGAGAUCCAAGCCCAAAGUCUCUGCAUGCAAGGCGCUCCGACACGGGUCACCUAGAAGCGUAGAGCCCGGGCGGUAGCCGCUGCGAGGCGCGGCGUCCUGGGUGGCCAGUGGACUUCGGAGCUGAGAGCGACGGUGGAUCCCUGGAGCGCAGAUCGAGGGGCAGCCUCCUCGCCUAGGGCUUCCACUUGAGUCUACACUGCACCUUUUGGCAUCCGUUCCCGCUGAAGGCUACAGGAGAACAGGACUCACCCUUCCAACGCCCAGAAACAGGCCCAGGAAGCCGGCAAAACAAAACAGAAAAACCACCCCUCCGUUCUGAGUCCAUCCAAAGCCGGCAUCUCCUACGGACUGCGAAUUUGAGCUUCCGCACAGAAUUCGCCUAGAGCUCCGAGGAGCGGUCCCUAGGCGCGACCAGGCCAAGGGCCAGCUCCGUGCGACAUCCUGGCUACCUUGUCACCGGGGCUGGGAGGAAGACCACAGGGCAGGCAUUGAGAGUCGGGACUGACUAGGGGAGGCUUGUAGAAGGGUGCGUGGGAAAAUGCACGUUGGAACAUUUGACUCUCCUCUGUUCAAGGCUUCACAGCAAGACCCAAAAAGCCUGCGCUCCCGGGGAGGGUGAGGUGGUUUGUCCCUGUUCGGGCACUCACUCAGAGCUCAGGCGGAACCUCUGGCAGAAUCUGAGGGAGUCUGACACGGAGAAGGACCCUGCAAGGCUGAGCUUAGGUGAGAGGAGAGCUUCUGAGCUGGAGAAGAGUCCAGUCACUGGAGGGUUUCCUUUCAGCUUCCUGUCCAGAUCUCUUGAACUCGAACUCUGCUUCUGCUUUAAGAUCCCGGUUUGAGUUCCAGACCUGAAGGCUGGCGCGCUCUCUCUCUCCCUCUCUCUCAUA